rnacentral:rRNA from 1 species
GUACGGGGGGGGCAAGCGUUGUUCGGAAUUACUGGGCGUAAAGGGCUCGUAGGCGGCCAACUAAGUCAUACGUGAAAUCCCUCAGCUUAACUGGGGAACUGCGUCCGAUACUGGAUGGCUUGGAUUCGGGAGAGGGAUGCGGAAUUCCAGGUGUAGCGGUGAAAUGCGUAGAUAUCUGGAGGAACACCGGUGGCGAAGGCGGCAUCCUGGACCGAUAUUGACGCUGAGGAGCGAAAGCCAGGGGAGCAAACGGG